rnacentral:rRNA from 1 species
CGUGUAGGCGGCUUAAAAAGCUUGGUGUUAAAUACUAUAGCUCAACUAUAGGAAUGCGCUGAGAACUGGUAAGCUUGAGUUUUGGAAGGGAAACUGGAAUUCCUGGUGUAGGGGUGAAAUCUGUAGAUAUCAGGAAGAACACCGAUGGCGAAGGCAGGUUUCUGGCCAAAGACUGACGCUGAGGCGCGAAAGCGUGGGGAGCAAACAG